GCUAACACUAGAGUCACAUCCUGACACACUGCUUGUCCCAGCUUGCUAGAAUUCUUGGAGUCAGUGUACUGAUCAUGAUUCACUGGCAGAAGUAAUCAAUGCCCCAUGAGUGACCAGGUAAGUAACAUGC